GAUGAACGCUGGCGGCGUGCCUAAUACAUGCAAGUCGAGCGAAUGGAUUAAGAGCUUGCUCUGGUGAAUUAGUGGCGAACGGGUGAGUAACACGUGAGUAACCUGCCCUUGACUCUGGGAUAACUGCGGGAAACUGUAGCUAAUACCGGAUACGACCCUCGGCGGCAUCGCCAGGGGGUGGAAAGAAUUUCGGUCAAGGAUGGACUCGCGGCCUAUCAGCUAGUUGGUGAGGUAACGGCUCACCAAGGCGACGACGGAUAGCCGGCCUGAGAGGGUGACCGGCCACACUGGGACUGAGACACGGCCCAGACUCCUACGGGAGGCAGCAGUGGGGAAUAUUGCACAAUGGGCGCAAGCCUGAUGCAGCAACGCCGCGUGAGGGAUGACGGCCUUCGGGUUGUAAACCUCUUUUAGUAGGGAAGAAGCGAAAGUGACGGUACCUGCAGAAAAAGCACCGGCUAACUACGUGCCAGCCGCCGCAGUAA
rnacentral:rRNA from 1 species